UGUGCUAUGACACCACUGCCUUCCAACC
rnacentral:piRNA from 1 species